rnacentral:rRNA from 1 species
UACAGAGGGGGCAAGCGUUGUUCGGAAUUACUGGGCGUAAAGGGCGCGUAGGCGGCCUUCUAAGUCGAACGUGAAAUCCCCGGGCUCAACCCGGGAACUGCGUCCGAUACUGGAAGGCUUGAAUCCGGGAGAGGGAUGCGGAAUUCCAGGUGUAGCGGUGAAAUGCGUAGAUAUCUGGAGGAACACCGGUGGCGAAGGCAGCCCCCUGGGAUAACACUGACGCUCAUGCACGAAAGCGUGGGGAGCAAACAGG